AUGCACCAAAAUACCACUAGAAAGACAAGCCAUUCCUUGAUGCUCCUGGUGGUUGCCAGCAAUCUUUGGCCUCCCUUUGACAUUCAUCGGUUUGUAGAUGUUUUGCUCCAAUUCCUGCUGGCAUCACAUGGCAUUCUUCUGGUCUUGUCUUAUUGCAUUGCUAAGACAUCCAGCAUGGUGUUGCAGAGAAGUGACAGAGGACUUGUUCCCUUCUUAAGGAGAGAUGUAUUUAGACUCAUCAUGAGAAUAAUGUGAGCUGAAGCUUUUCAGAGAUUUCCUUUUUUAUAUAAUCUAUUUCAAUUAUCCCAUUAGGCUUAGUGUUUGGGUAGAAUCGUCUACAUUUACAGAUGAGAAUACUGAGGUUCAAAGAUGUUAUCUAAAUUGCCCACAAUCAUACAGCUAGCAAGAGGCAAUCAAGACCAUGAUUCCAGUGCUGUUUCAACUGUAUCAAUGAUUCCAUUUGUCAAGUGUCUGGUGCUUUAUUCCUUAUAAAUCAUUCACUUAGGAAAUAAUUAUUGAGCUCAUACCAUGUGCUAUACUUUAAAGGUGCAAAGCACUGAAUAAAAGUUAUUUAUUUGUAUUAAUAAGUUUUAAAAUUGAGAUGAUACCCAUGAAAUGUUUUAAGAAAGAUUUGCAAGAGGUUUUGCAUAGAUUAUUUAGAAAGACAAGAGGAAAUCACCUUACUGAUGAAAGUAAUACAUCAUCAGGAUGGCAUAUCCCAUUAAGCAUCAAAGGGAUGCUGUGUUUUAGUUCUUAAAGCAUGAAUUUGUGUCUCCAGAGAUAAUUUGUGACAACUGUGUAUUUGAAGCUCUAUUUAUCUGUAUUGAAGAACACACAGAUUCCACUUUUAAUACAGGUUGUUCUUAUGGAACAGCACCAUUGUUUUGGUGAUUAUCAUCAUCUUCUUUAGCAUUAUAUCAGAGAAUGUCUUUUCUUUCUUAUUUUAUUGGGAGCUAAUUUAUUCAUAUUUUAAGUGUUUUCAAUAAGGAGAUUAUAAUUUUAGGUUUAGUUUCUUUUUAUCUUUGUCCAUAUGUAUGUUCUAAUUCACUCAUUCUAAAUUGAGGGAUAAUUUGCAAAGUGAAAAUCAGCUCAUCUUUCUUUUUCAGGUUAUGAAUAAAUAUGCCAAGGAAUAUGAAGAUCAGAGAAGGGAAUCACAGAAUGUUAGGACUGAAAGAGAUCAUGAUGGUCACCAUAUUAUUUUACAGUUGAGGAAAUUGAGGCCCAGGAAACUUAAGCCACAUGUCUAAUAUUAUACAGCUGCUGGCCAAGUGGCAAAGCU
rnacentral:lncRNA from 1 species